ACUAUACCGUCUUCUGCAGGGACCCUAACCCAGAAUUCGUCAACUUCAUCGCGCGGACGGUCCAGGAGCUAUUCGGCAUAAACCCCCACGUCCGUAGGGCCAGCACGAAGUACUACCUGGUCUCGACGAACGUAAAAUGGGUGCACGACUUCUUCCUCAGGAUCGGCUUCCCAAAGGGGAGGAAGCUGACGAGCGCUGAGAUCCCUCCGCUCUAUCGGAACGACCUCGACGUGGUCAAAGGUCUGUUCGACAGCGAGGGCUAUUGCGGAAUCGACCUCCAGCGGCACGGCGAUAGGACAUAUGCGUAUCCCUACGUUGGGAUCGACAUGAUCGCGCGGCCGGUGAUCAGGCAGGCGAGGGAGCUGCUGCUCCAGCACGGCAUCCGCUGCUCCCACCAGAGGAAGCGGCCGAGGGCCUGGGGAAAGCAUUACCAGUGGCGGCUGGUCGUCAAGGGAUGGGAGGAAGUCGCGGCCUUCGCGGAGGAGGUCGGCUUCCGGCAUCCAGACAGGUCUAGGCGACUGCAGCAGAUAUUGGUCGAGGGCGGGAUCCUCAGAGACCAUACGCCACGCGCUCCGGCCGGCAACUCCUCUUAGCCGUCCGGGGCGAUGAUAUGGUCCAACCCCGACCUUCAGGUCGGGCACGCUUAAGGUAGCCAAAUGCCUUGUCGGGUGAGUUCCGACGCGCACGAAUGGAUCAACGAGGGCCCCACUGUCCCGGCCCGGAGCCCCGUGAACCCACAUAACGUGGACGAACAGUCCACGGACCCCCAGCGGGGAGAGAAGACCCUGUGGAGCUUUACUGCAGCCUGUCGCUGCGGGAUGGCUCUGGGUGCAUAGCGUAGCCGGGAGCCGUCGAUCCGGGCCUCUCCGGGGGCCCGGGGAGGCGCCAAUGUAACACCGGCCACCUGGGGCUGUCCCGCUAACCGGGGCCUGUGCCCUGGGACAACGGCAGGUGGGCAGUUCGGCUGGGGCGGCACUCCCCCGAAAAGAUAUCGGGGGAGCCCAAAGGUCGGCUCAGGCGGGACAGAAACCCGCUGUAGAGUGCAAGGGCAAAAGCCGGCCUGACAGGACCCUCGAACGCAAGGGGUCCUGAGGGGAAACCCGGGCCUAGCGAUCCAUCGGCCCCUACCAGUGGGGGCCGGUGGUGACAGAAAAGUUACCCCAGGGAUAACAGGCUCGUCGCGGGCGAGAGUCCCCAUCGACCCCGCGGCUUGGUACCUCGAUGUCGGCUCUUCCCAUCCUGGCCUCGCAGCAGGGGCCAAGGGUGAGGCUGCUCGCCUAUCAAAGGGGAACGUGAGCUGGGUUUAGACCGGCGUGAGCCAGGUCGGAUUCUACCUGCUGGGGGUGCGGGCCGCCUGAGGGCAAGGUCCUCCUAGUACGAGAGGAACGGAGGGCCGGGGCCAACGGUGUACCGGUCGUCCUACAGGGCGACGCCGGGCAGCCGCGCCCCUGGGGAUAAGGGCUGAAAGCAUCUAAGCCCGAAGCCCCUCCCAAAAAUAGGCGGCCAAUCGGGGCCUAUAGGGCCCGGCAACGGGCCUUGGGCCCCGACGAGGGCUCCCCUAGAAG
rnacentral:rRNA from 1 species